rnacentral:rRNA from 1 species
GAUGAACGCUAGCUACAGGCUUAACACAUGCAAGUCGAGGGGUAACGAGAGGAAAGCUUGCUUUCCUUGUCGACGACCGGCGCACGGGUGAGCAACGCGUAUCCAACCUGCCCCCAACUAGGGAAUAACCUUGCGAAAGUAAGACUAAUACCCUAUAAUUUCCUCAGAUGACAUCUGACGAGGAAUAAAGAUUUAUCGGUUGUGGAUGGGGAUGCGUCUGAUUAGCUUGUUGGCGGGGUAACGGCCCACCAAGGCAACGAUCAGUAGGGGUUCUGAGAGGAAGGUCCCCCACAUUGGAACUGAGACACGGUCCAAACUCCUACGGGAGGCAGCAGUGAGGAAUAUUGGUCAAUGGGCGAAAGCCUGAACCAGCCAAGUAGCGUGCAGGAUGACGGCCCUAUGGGUUGUAAACUGCUUUUAUACAGGAAUAAAGUUAGCCACGUGUGGUUAUUUGUAGGUACUGUAUGAAUAAGGACCGGCUAAUUCCGUGCCAGCAGCCGCGGUAA